rnacentral:rRNA from 1 species
GAUGAACGCUGGCGGCGUGCCUAAUACAUGCAAGUCGAGCGAACAGAUGAGGAGCUUGCUCCUCUGACGUUAGCGGCGGACGGGUGAGUAACACGUGGAUAACCUACCUAUAAGACUGGGAUAACUUCGGGAAACCGGAGCUAAUACCGGAUAAUAUAUUGAACCGCAUGGUUCAAUAGUGAAAGACGGUUUUGCUGUCACUUAUAGAUGGAUCCGCGCCGCAUUAGCUAGUUGGUAAGGUAACGGCUUACCAAGGCAACGAUGCGUAGCCGACCUGAGAGGGUGAUCGGCCACACUGGAACUGAGACACGGUCCAGACUCCUACGGGAGGCAGCAGGAGGGAAUCUUCCGCAAGGGGCGAAAGCCUGACGGAGCAACGCCGCGUGAGUGAUGAAGUUCUUCGGAUCGUAAAACUCUGUUAUUGGGGAAAAACAAAUGUGUAAGUAACUAUGCACGUUUGGACGGUACCUAAUCAGAAAGCCACGGCAAACUACGU